rnacentral:rRNA from 1 species
AUUGAACGCUAGCGGGAUGCUUUACACAUGCAAGUCGAACGGCAGCGCGGACUUCGGUCUGGCGGCGAGUGGCGAACGGGUGAGUAAUGUAUCGGAACGUGCCCAGUAGCGGGGAUAACUACGCGAAAGCGUAGCUAAUACCGCAUACGCCCUACGGGGGAAAGCAGGGGAUCGUAAGACCUUGCACUAUUGGAGCGGCCGAUAUCGGAUUAGCUAGUUGGUGAGGUAACGGCUCACCAAGGCGACGAUCCGUAGCUGGUUUGAGAGGACGACCAGCCACACUGGGACUGAGACACGGCCCAGACUCCUACGGGAGGCAGAAGUGGGGAAUUUUGGACAAUGGGGGCAACCCUGAUCCAGCCAUCCCGCGUGUGCGAUGAAGGCCUUCGGGUUGUAAAGCACUUUUGGCAGGAAAGAAACGUCGCGGGCUAAUACCCCGUGGAACUGACGGUACCUGCAGAAUAAGCACCGGCUAACUACGUG